rnacentral:rRNA from 1 species
GACGAACGCUGGCGGCGUGCUUAACACAUGCAAGUCGAACGAAGCACUUUAUUACGAUUCCUUCGGGAUGACGAUAUAGUGACUGAGUGGCGGACGGGUGAGUAACGCGUGGGUAACCUACCUUAUACAGGGGGAUAGCAGUUGGAAACGACUGAUAAUACCGCAUAAGCGCACAGCUUCGCAUGAAGCAGUGUGAAAAGCCGAGACGGUAUAAGAUGGACCCGCGUCUGAUUAGCUAGUUGGUGAGGUAACGGCUCACCAAGGCGACGAUGCGUAGCCGACCUGAGAGGGUGAUCGGCCACAUUGGGACUGAGACACGGCCCAGACUCCUACGGGAGGCAGCAGUGGGGAAUAUUGCACAAUGGGGGAAACCCUGAUGCAGCAACGCCGCGUGAGUGAUGACGGUCUUCGGAUUGUAAAGCUCUGUCUUUAGGGACGAUAAUGACGGUACCUAAGGAGGAAGCCACGGCUAACUACGUGCCAGCAGCCG